UACGAAGGGGACUAGCGUUGUUCGGAAUUACUGGGCGUAAAGCGUGCGUAGGCGGUUCGUUAAGUUCGUUGUGAAAGCCCCGGGCUCAACCUGGGAAUGGCAAUGGAAACUGGCGGGCUGGAGUAUGGCAGAGGGGGGUGGAAUUCCGCGUGUAGCAGUGAAAUGCGUAGAGAUGCGGAGGAACACCGAUGGCGAAGGCAGCCCCCUGGGCCAAUACUGACGCUCAUGCACGAAAGCGUGGGGAGCAAACAGG
rnacentral:rRNA from 1 species